rnacentral:lncRNA from 1 species
GUAAUCCUCCCAGGGAUUCCCACCACCCGCACUCCACUCGCAGACUGCGGGCCUUCCUCCGACGCUGGGAGAAGGACCCUGGGAGAGGCAAGGGAAGGGCUCCGGAACCAGCGCAGCAGCGGGACGCUAGCCCGCCCACACGGCGGCCACUUGAAGGACCGGUGGCUCCCGUGGAGACCGCAGCGGAACCCAGUCCGCCUUCGCACGCGUCCGGGGGAGAAGCGGCCCCAGGACUAAGGGCGCGCGCCCGAGGAACCGGUGCUGUGACGACCAGAGCAAACACGCCGGAUGUUCCUGUGUAGGCUGUGUAAGGAGUGACCGGAAGUAGAAACUGGGUGCUCCAGUGGCGCAAUCGGUUAGCGCGCGGUACUUAUAUGGCAGUAUGUGUGCGAGUGAUGCCGAGGUUGUGAGUUCGAGCCUCACCUGGAGCAUUGUUUUCCAACCCAAAAUAGCAUUACUUGAAGUGCCUUUCCCCCUGUAAUCCGACUCCAUCGUCUUUAACGUGUUUGGAAUUGUGUACACAGUUUAUUGUUAUUGGUUUCCUUAGCCUUUUUAGAACCAAGCAACGCCAAUUACCAACAAAAUCCGUUGCGCCGCAGUGAGUUAGCUACCUUCUAUCUCCACUUUGUUCUGCACGUCGAUCUCAGGAGAAGCCAGCUCCCAUGUUAAGAAGUUCAAAUACCUAGAGACUGCGAUGGUUUGCAGAGGCUCAAGCUAACCACAUGGAAAGACAUGGAGAGAUAUUCCUUGCCAACCCUCAACUACUCCAACUAUUCUAAGACAUCAAACCUAAAAACAAACCGCAGGUCACCCACCGGUCUGAAGAGGAGGAUGAGAGACAAAGAAAAAAGUUGUCUGGCUGCCUCUGCUGUCUACAGAUUGAAGAAGAUCCAUCCAGCUGAGCCCAGCCUAGACCAGCUGACUUCUCCAAUAAGCCUGUAUGAAAUAAAUGCUUAUUGUUAUGUGACCUUGAGCUUUGAAGAUA